rnacentral:lncRNA from 1 species
UGAGGAUCAGCUGCUUGUCAUUCUCAAGGCUUAGUUUCUCAUUUAUAGCUUCGGGGAAAAGCAAGGGCACUUACAGCAGGAAAAAGCAAUGAUGAAAGCACAGAAGCAUCCCAUAGUGCUUGGACAUAAUGAUAAUGUCAGUUCUGUAAGAGCUCGGGUUAGACAACACGAGAGAGUCCAGGAAGAUUUCUCAUUGAAUGGGCAGCUAUAUUUUCUUUUAGGUAAGAAGCAAACCCUGUUUUCUCCUCCUAAAUAUGUGUGGUCAAUACUGCAUCAAGUUGCACAUCCUUGGGGGUGCAGCUCUCCACCAUGGGAUCUCUGCACAUGGGAUGCCCCAGCAGAGUUCGCAGGAGCAGCCUCUCAUUUGGAGAUUUUUGGGCACCAGGUCCCUGACUGCUGCAAUCCCCAAAGCUUCCUGCAGAGAGAUGCCCAGAUGCACAGCCUCCAAAAAUUCUGGUUGCUCCUGGAACUCUGAUAUGCCUGUACUGCAGGGCUUGCUUUACUCUCUCACAGACCUUUGCUCCUGAUUAUUCAACCCCAUCAUCCAGCCCAACUUUUUUUCAGCUAUUCAGUGGAUUCUCCCCGCGUGCACCUUUGCUCUGCUCCCUUCUUCAUUCAGGAUGUGGAUGCAGGAAUCAGCCAAGACGCUGCUGGUUGUAGAUUAAACAUUAAGUCAUUUGCACUGACAGCUGAUUACUUGUGUAGCAGCAAAAUAGGACACUCACGCUGACUGUGAGCACUGUUACCAAUGGGAAGACCAGAAGGGAGCACUCCUUCUAUCACAUCAUUACCAUUCAUCCUCAUGGCAAGUCAUCACAUGUUGCUCAGUUGGUUCAUGCACCUCUCUCUCACCAUGGUGAUGUGCAGGGGCACACUAAACACCCUCCAUCCCACUGCUGCUCUGCUACUGCCUGAGAAGGGUGUUUGGGGUUUGACCAAAGGAAAACCACCCUCCUCAGGGAGAACUGAUAAGGCGGGAAGUGAUUUUGUCAGAGCAGCUUGGUUAAGCACGUGUAGACAACUGCUCAGGGUCAGCCACAGAUAAUAAGCUUUUGGAUGACAAAUCUCAGUCCUUGGCUGUACAGUAAGGGGUGUAUGCUCCCAGCAUGCUCUCUGUGAAUUAUUGCAAUGGCAGCACUCACUUCCCUUCUCUGGGAAAGAAACAAGAGCAAAGCAAGCAAGAACUAGCAGCAGAUGGUCCCUCCUGUGCCCAGAUCGUUCCAGCCAAAACAAAUCUACAUCCCCAGCUGAAGGGAAGGGUACAGGAAUAGCACAGGAGUGUGACUCAGAUCCAGUGACUCAGACAGCAAGGCGAGGGGAGAGCGGGAGGGGGAGAAGCAGAACCUGGCGCAAGAGCCUCUUACGGAUGGCAGUGAUUAUUGCUAUUAUUCCAACGAGUGCUUGCGGGCACCAACAACUCUCACUGUUCUCAUUUUUUU